rnacentral:rRNA from 1 species
AAGACCUUGCGCUUUUGGAGCGGCCGAUGCCUGAUUAGCUUGUUGGUAAGGUAAAAGCUUACCAAGGCUUCGAUCAGUAGCUGGUCUGAGAGGACGGCCAGCCACACUGGGACUGAGACACGGCCAGACUCCUACGGGAGGCAGCAGUGGGGAAUUUUGGACAAUGGGGGCAACCCUGAUCCAGCCAUGCCGCGUGAGUGAAGAAGGCCUUCGGGUUGUAAAGCUCUUUCAGCCGGAACGAAACGGUUACGGUUAAUACCCGUGAUUACUGACGGUACCGGAAGAAGAAGCACCGGCUAACUACGUGCCAGCAGCCGCGGUAAUACGUAGGGUGCGAGCGUUAAUCGGAAUUACUGGGCGUAAAGCGUGCGCAGGUGGUUUUGUAAGUCAGAUGUGAAAGCCCCGGGCUCAACCUGGGAACU